AUGGAGACGCUUCUGGCCCUGUCUUUGGUGAUUCUGUGGCUUCCGCUGGCCAAGGUGAAUAGCCAGCAAGGAGGACAGAAUCUUCAGACCCUGAGCAUCCAGGAGGGUGAAAAUGUCACCAUGAACUGCAGCUAUAAAAGUAUUACUAUAACUGCCUUACAGUGGUACAGACAGGAUUCAAGGCGAGGCUUUGUUCAUCUGAUUUUAAUGCGUUCAAAUGAGAGACAGAAACACAGUGGAAGACUGCACUUCACGCUUGACCGCUCCAUCAAAAGCAGCUCCGUGUCCAUCACGGCUUCCCAGGGCGAGGACACUGCUACUUACCUCUGUGCUCCAGACACACAGUGCUCAGCUGGCACCUGCAGCCCCAGCGCAAACUUGCCAGAGCUGUCUCUUAAAAGCUGUGACAGUGUGCAGAGUUGGUGGUUUUGUCUUCCCACAAAGGAGAGUCUGCAAACGGCUAGCAACACGAAAGGGAGCUCCUCUCAAAUUCCUGAGUUUUUGGUAGCAUGUCAGACUAUAGUAAAGGGCAUGGGAUUUAGAAUGGGAAGCUGA